rnacentral:misc_RNA from 1 species
GAUGAAGAACGUAGCGAAAUGCGAUAAGUAGUGUGAAUUGCAGAAUUCCGUGAAUCAUCGAAUCUUUGAACGCUCAUUGCGCCUCCUGGUAGUCCGGGAGGCAUGCCUGUUCGAGCGUCACCAAAUCCAACUCAAGCGGUUUUGCGCUUGGUCGUGGCGGAAGAGUCGGUCUGGUUGCCGUCUCCCCUCCGAAAAUCAACGGCGGAAAGUCACUGGCAGUCAGCGUAGUAGUAUCGUUCGCCGAACAUCCAGUGGCAUUCCUGCCGACGUACCCCCACAAUUCUCGUGAUUGACCUCGGAUCAGGUAGGGAUACCCGCUGAACUUAAGCAUAUCAAUAAGCGGAGGA